UACGUAGGGUGCGAGCGUUGUCCGGAAUUACUGGGCGUAAAGCGCGCGUAGGCGGCUUUGCAAGUCGGGUGUGAAAUCCCCAGGCUUAACCUGGGAACUGCAUUCGAGACUGCAUUGCUAGAGUAUGGGAGAGGGAAGUGGAAUUUCCGGUGUAGCGGUGAAAUGCGCAGAUAUCAGGAGGAACACCAAUGGCGAAGGCAGCUCGCUGGGACGUGACUGACGCUGAGACGCGAAAGCGUGGGGAGCAAACAGG
rnacentral:rRNA from 1 species